rnacentral:lncRNA from 1 species
ACCUUACCACCUUACAUUCAUUUUUCAAAAUAGAGAGAAGGCUCUCAACUCUCUCAACCCUUCCCCUCCUCCGGUCAUCAGACCGGCCAUCAACCGUCACGCCGGUCACCGGCCACCGACGGCGGCGCCGUCGUCCACGGUGACCGAAAAAUCUUCCUAGGCCUUUUUUCGCUUCUCUUCUCGAGUAGAGCCCGGAUUUGGGGUUAAAAUGACCCAAAAACCUUCAAAAAUUAAUGAGAAGCACCCUAGAACUCAAGAAUCCAUUCGGUUUCCGGCCACCGAUCCUCGGCGGUGGCUUCCUCGGUCGUCCACGAUGUUCGAAAACUGAACACCGGUAAGAUCCUUCCCUCUUUCCCUUUUUUUAUAUUUUUUACAAGUUUUUUUCUUUGUUAAAAAUAUUUGUAAAAUAGAUAAAACGAACGAAUAGAAAGAAGAUCAAAAAAAUAAAAAUAAGGACAAACACCUUUUGAACUUGUUUUCUCUUUUUGAUUUCUCCCCAAAAGUCUCUGUAAUACAACCCCCUCUAAUCCAAUCUCUUCUCUCCCCAAAAUACAAUCGAUUCUUCUUCAAAAUACCAUCGAUCCCCCCUCUUACAAUCGGUUCUAGUAUGGCCUUUAUAGCCAUUUACAAAUUUAUUAUAUAUAUUUGUUAUCUUUUCUUCUUCUUGUAUGGCAGGCAAACGGUGGUGGAGGCAUGUGCCACUUGGUAGUGGUUGGAAGUGGGUGGUUGAGGCUUGCGGCUAGAGUUUCUAAUUUCUGAAAAUAGGUUGUGGGCUAGGGUUUCUAAGCUUUUGGGCUUCUUUUAGGUUUUAAUUUUUGGGUUGUAAUUGGAUUGGUAGCUUUGUUUGUAAAUGGACUUUUAAUGGGCAUUUUGAUUUUUUUUAUUUUUUUUUCAAAAUUUGGUUUAUUUAUUUUAAGGCCCGGGUAAAAUAUAGGUUCUACAUUUUCUAUUUCUCUCAAAUAAUGAAUUUUAAUUUUAAAUUAUCUUCUAUUUUUUAAAAGUAAUAACAGAGGUAAAUAAA